rnacentral:misc_RNA from 1 species
AAGUCGUAACAAGGUUUCCGUAGGUGAACCUGCGGAAGGAUCAUUAACACGUGUUAAAAUUAAUAACUUUAACACAUGUAUUUUAUCAAAUCCACCGAGAAAUUGUUAAUAUCUAUCCUAUUGUUGGAUGCAGGUAGACGAAAUGAGGGAAUGCUAUGGGCCGCCCUUCGAAAGAUUGUACGCCCUAACUCUAUUCGUCGUUCAUAGGUCCGCCCUGGAACUUGCACUGGCAAAUAGUUGACGAGUAACGACUGUGACUGCAUGUAGCAUUGCGUUGCAGAUCGUUAUGACCUUAUUAACCCAUUUUUUUACUAUUACUUACUGAUUUUGUACGUUUCUAUGAAUUCCUUACAUUAGUAACAUAAUGUCGGUUGAGUUUAUAUAAAUGUCGUAUAUUAUUAAUACGAAACAACUCUUAGCAACGGAUAUCUUGGUUCUCGUAACGAUGAAGAACGGAGC